UACGUAGGGACCAAGCGUUGUCCGGAAUCAUUGGGCGUAAAGCGCGUGUAGGCGGCUUGGCAAGUCGGGUGUGAAAGCCCUCAGCUCAACUGAGGAAGUGCGCCCGAAACUGCUUAGCUUGAGUACCGGAGAGGAUGGUGGAAUUCCCGAAGUAGAGGUGAAAUUCGUAGAUAUCGGGAGGAACACCGGUGGCGAAGGCGACCAUCUGGACGGAUACUGACGCUGAGACGCGAAAGCGUGGGUAGCAAACAGG
rnacentral:rRNA from 1 species